AGUACGGUGGCCGAGUGGUUAAGGCGUUGGACUUAAGUUCCAAUGGACGUAAUGUCCGCAUGGGUUCGAACCCCAUCCGUACUA
rfam:Strongylocentrotus purpuratus Contig9712_fixed, whole genome shotgun sequence.